rnacentral:rRNA from 1 species
GACGAACGCUGGCGGCGUACCUAAUACAUGCAAGUAGAACGCACAGUUUAUACCGUAGCUUGCUACACCAUAGACUGUGAGUUGCGAACGGGUGAGUAACGCGUAGGUAACCUGCCUGGUAGCGGGGGAUAACUAUUGGAAACGAUAGCUAAUACCGCAUAAUAUUGAUUAUUGCAUGAUAAUUGAUUGAAAGAUGCUAUUGCAUCACUACCAGAUGGACCUGCGUUGUAUUAGCUAGUAGGUGAGGUAACGGCUCACCUAGGCGACGAUACAUAGCCGACCUGAGAGGGUGAUCGGCCACACUGGGACUGAGACACGGCCCAGACUCCUACGGGAGGCAGCAGUAGGGAAUCUUCGGCAAUGGACGAAAGUCUGACCGAGCAACGCCGCGUGAGUGAAGAAGGUUUUCGGAUCGUAAAGCUCUGUUGUAAGAGAAGAACGGGUGUGAGAGUGGAAAGUUCACACUGUGACGGUAGCUUACCAGAAAGGGACGGCUAACUACGUG